rnacentral:rRNA from 1 species
CAGCCGCCGCGGUAACCCCAGCGCCACAAGUGGGAACCACGUUUAUUGGGUCUAAAGCAUCCGUAGCCGGCUUGUUAAAUGCCCUGUGAAAUCGUUCUGCCUAACAGAACGGCGUGCAGGGUAGACUGGCAAGCUUGGAACCAGGAAAGGUAUGCGGUAUUCUGUGGGGAACGGUAAAAUGUUAUAAUCCCGGGAGGACCACCGAUGGCGAAGGCAGCCAACCAGGAUGGAUCCGACGGUGAGGGAUGAAAGCUAGGGGAGCGAUCCGGAUUAGAUACCCGAGUAGUCCUAGCCGUAAACGCUGCAUGCCAGAUGUUACACAAUCUUCGAGAUUGUGUAGUGUCGAAACGAAGGUGUUAAGCAUGCCACCUGGGAAGUACGGUCGCAAGGCUGAAACUUAAAGGAAUUGGCGGGGGAGCACCA